rnacentral:tRNA from 1 species
UAGCUCAGUCUGUAAAGAAUCUGCCUGCAGCGCAGAAGACCCAGGUUCAAUCCCUGG